rnacentral:rRNA from 1 species
AGCGAACGCUGGCGGCAGGCCUAACACAUGCAAGUCGAACGAACUCUUCGGAGUUAGUGGCGGACGGGUGAGUAACACGUGGGAACGUGCCUUUAGGUUCGGAAUAACUCAGGGAAACUUGUGCUAAUACCGAAUGUGCCCUUCGGGGGCAAGAUUUAUCGCCUUUAGAGCGGCCCGCGUCUGAUUAGCUAGUUGGUGAGGUAAAGGCUCACCAAGGCGACGAUCAGUAGCUGGUCUGCGCGGAUGAUCAGCCACAUUGGGACUGAGACACGGCCCAAACUCCUACGGGAGGCAUCAGUGGGGAAUCUUGCGCAUGGGCGAAAGCCUGACGCAGCCAUGCCGCGUGAAUGAUGAAGGUCUUAGGAUUGUAAAAUUCUUUCACCGGGGACGAUAAUGACGGUACCCGGAGAAGAAGCCCCGGCUAACUUCGUGCCAGCCGCCGCCGUAA